AGGCCGGGAGGUAGAAGGAGGCUUGGAACCGGCCAUUGAGAAUUUUCAGCACUUUUAAUAUUUCCGCUUUUCUCUCCCCUCCCCGUCGCCCACCCCUCGGGUACCAUGGCCCUUGGUACCCUCCAAGCAGGGCUGUCAUCGCCCUGCGGAUGAGCAGCCUGCCUGACCCGGCACUGCCGCAGAGGCAGAGAAGAGAGGAAGGAGGCCAGCCAGCCGCAUCCAGGCCUAGCUAGCCGCAGUGGGGCUGGCCAGAUACCACUGGGGCACCAUGGGCAAUAGCUGGAUGGGUGAGACCCAGGGCUGGAGCAGAGAGAUGGGGACAUCCCAGAGCAAAGAGAAAGAUCUAUCUAUCUAUCUAUCUAUCUUCCACAGAGACUGGCUGAGGAAGAGGAGGAGAUGUCACCGAGGAAGAUCUCAACCCCCCUGUUGGUCCUGCCACCUAGACGCGAAGAGUCUCUUCAUCUCGCAGGUCAGACUCCAUCCCUCACUUCCCGUCCCGGUCCGGGACCAAAGGAAAUUGGGAAAAGCCGAGAUUCCCCUCGGAAGGGAAAAUGCGAGAUUCCACCAGCUCCUUUUGGGGUGUCAGAUUUGGGAGACCUUCGGAGGUGUGGAAAUGAUUUAUAAAUGCAACGGGACAAAGGCAAGCGACUUUGCAGUCGAAUCUCCUGCAGGCUGAGGACAGUGGAAGGAUCCAAAGAGCAAAAACAUCCCAGCCAGAGGUGAGUGGAAAAUAUCCCUUCACGCACAUUGGUUGUGAAAGAGAAAUAG
rnacentral:lncRNA from 1 species